AACUUUCAACAAUGGAUCUCUUGGUUCUGGCAUCGAUGAAGAACGCAGCGAAAUGCGAUAAGUAGUGUGAAUUGCAGAAUUCAGUGAAUCAUCGAAUUUUUGAACGCACAUUGCGCCCCUCGGUAUUCCGUGGGGCAUGCCUGUUCGAGCGUCAUUUA
rnacentral:rRNA from 1 species